rnacentral:lncRNA from 1 species
GUGAGGAGACACAUGGAUUGUUAUAAAAACUUUUACUAAACAAAAAAAAACACAAUAAAGCCUGACAAAGAUUCAAAAAGGAAACAAACAAAUAAAAACAAAUACAAAUAAUGCUAAACUAUUGCUGAACACAAUGCACAACAAACUGAUACUCAACUUAGGUGAUGAAAAUGCAUAUGGAGAAGCGUGCCAAAGUCAUAACACUUCUAUGUAGGUACACCACGUGUAAAGGGGUAGAGGGCAAGAGAGGCUGAUCAAAAGAGACAGCCACUUAGGUUACAUUUUUAGAAGGUUGGACUACAGUCUUGUUUACACUCACUAGGGUGUGCCAUAGUAACUCUUGAAUGGAAAGUGAACUUCCUGGUGGUUGCUGGCUUAUGAUAUUGAUAUGACCAGUGUCAGAUGUUGAUAUUUUGUCUCUUGCAAGACAAAGGGAAGAUAUUUUGCUCACUAGUGACACAUUUUGGUGGACAUAACCACGGCAUGGUUAUAUUUAAUCUCAACUGCACAUCACUUCACAGAAAUAUGAGCAUACACCUAAGUUUCAAUAGCGUUAUUUUAGAAUAUGGUUUAAUAAAAUUACUUAGAACAUAUAUAUUUUUUAGUUUAUUUUGGUGUGGAGGGCAAUGUGGGUAGAUGUGACAUUAGGGGGGAAAUGAGAAAAAUAAAACAAGAGUUGUGUGAUAUCUGGCCCAGGGUUCAAUUAAUAUUAAAGACAGCCAUGUAAAUGAUUAUAAAUGUAUGAUUUGUAAACAUACAAAUAGUGAUACAAAAAUCAGAUGGUAUCACAAAUCAUUGACUGAAAAUGUAAGCAAAAAGAAUAUUGAAAUGCAAAAAAAAAAAAAAAUCCUCCUCACAUUAACAAAUCAUCAGAGAAACUAGGAAGAUAUUAUAUGGGUGUGUGUAGUCAGUGAUGUGCAUCAUCAGUAUGGAAGUAAUAUAUGUUAAAUUGGGAUUUUUUUUCUUUUUGCAUUUCUCUUUUAAUGUUAAUAACUUACUUUCCAAACACAAAUAGGAGCUACACUUGGGAGCAGUUUAAAAAAGGAGAAUACUUUGUAAAUUAGAAGAAAAAAAAAGUCAUAUUCCUGUCUCUAACCCCUUUGUGAAUUUAUACAUCAGAGUCAAUCUUGCUAAUUUGUAUGCUUAUGAAAGUGUAGACUUAAAAUCCAGCAUCAUAUUAUGGCCUCAAUUUAAUAUUUUUGAAUAAACCUUUAAAAUAUAUUUUAAAUGUUACAAAAUAUCUAAUAUUUUUACAAAUUAUUAAAUCAUUUUAAAAGUUUAUAUAAAAAUAUGAAAUCUAUGACAAAAAUCUUUAUCACACAUGGAAAAUGUAAUUAUACAAGAGAUGAACAUAUGCAUUCGAAAAGGUAUAAAAUAGUAUGCAAAAAUGUUUGCAAUCAAGGCCUCCUUUUAUAAAAAUGUAGAAAAACUGCUGUAGGAAUCUAAUCAUCUAAGCUAGAUUAUAUGGGGUUCUAAUCAGACACUGGAUAAAUGCAUUGUUUUCCCUUUAAAUGUUUAUCAAUAUAAUCUUUAACACUCACAAACACUGGUCAUGUUUCCCACAGCCAAGUUAAACUGAUAACAAUAUGCAAAUCACAUAUGUAAACGGUAAAAAAAGGUUGAAGAAUCAUAUACAUUAGUGAUACAAAAUAAAAUAAUUGAACUUAAUUGCUACAAAGAAGAAAUAGAAAUGAUCAAAUUUAACAAAGUGUAAAAAACAUUUUUAACACACACUAAGAUAGUGCUAACAGGUCAAAUAGACAGAGAAGCCUUUCAUGGAACUAUAGAAUCAUGUAUGUAAAAAAAAUAUAUGUGCAAAGUUUCCUUUACAGAAAAUACAACCACAAAUAUUAUAAGGGUUAUAAGGGUUAAAUCAUCUCAAGUGUUUCAGCAUAGGUUGCCUGACUUUGUAAUUUUCCUAAUUGGUUUUCCUUGGUUCAGUAAAAAAAGUCUCAAACUUGAAAUGGACGGCAUGCACACUAUAUUUACCUCCAUACCCCUUAAAAAAAACUAAAGAACUGAGAAUUGAACCUUUCCAAUUAUAAACUGACCCUAAAAGUGAAACGAUCAGUGAUGUUGAGCUUGUGUUGGUGGUGCAUGUGUAGAGUUUUAGUUUGUGGUAUUAUAUGCCUGGCUAGGAGCUGUAGAGUGCUUGUGUAUACUGUUCUUAGUGUGUACAGGGGGCAUACUAUGUGUGUAUAGGUGUUGCUGCGAGUGUGUGCACAGACGCUAUAUGUAGGUGGUGCAGUGUGUGUCUAAGGGCAAUCUAGUGUGUGUAGGAGAUCCAGAGUGUGUAUGUAGUGCAGUGUGUGUAUAAUGGAUGUAGUGUGUGUGUGUGAGUGUGCAAAGGAUGCAGUGUGUGUGAGGGUGCUGUGUGUGCAAGGGUUUUGCAUUUAUUUGUGUGUGUGUAUAAGGGGUGAACAGGGUCUAUGUUUUGUGUGGGUGGGUUAAAAUGUGGGAAAAUGUGUUUAAAAAAAAUAUAUACAAAUGAUUCAAAAAAAAGUCUUAUGUUCCCCUACCUUGCACUGCCUGGUGGUCCAGUGAUGGCAAAGAACUUUAGACUUUAGUCUGUAGCUCCUCUUCUCGAGAGCUCAGCACUGUCGGUGCAUUGAAAAAGUAACGCACGGCAACGCUCCAGACUGCCUCCCGGGUUCCUACCACUCCUCAAAAGUAAGUGCCAGUGGGCCGAUCCCAGAGGGCCCACAGCAAGGCUGGCUCUGCAUGGGAGAUGAAAGGAUCUUCCUUGUCGGCCUUGGCCUAUGGCCACUGAGGCCCACUGGACAUUUGCCUUAUGGCUGUUCCAGGCCUGAUUAGGACUCAAGUUCUAACUCUAAGGAACAAGAAUGUGCAAAAUGUUUAAAUAUGUACAUUUACCCAGUACAGUGCUCUAGAGAUCAGUUUUUGUUCCAAGGACCUGGGACCAUCCUGAGCGGAAAUUUUGAAGUUUCAAUAAACACCUGUAUAAGUCAAUGCUGUUGUGCACCAUAACAGAAAGAUGGCAUCUAUGGUUUAUCCAAGUAUAAUAAAAAUAAAAAACUUGUGGUUUUGCAAUACCAAUAUAUAGAGGUAAAUUAAAAAAAAA